GUGUUCUUUCCGUGCAUGGCAUAAAUGAGUGGAAUCCCCUGUUCUGGGACCCUGAAUGUCACGCACAGAGCGGCCUGCUUACUGUGUGACUUUCCAUAAGUCAUUCAGCCUCUCUGGGCUUGGAUUCCCCAGCUGUCAGCAUUCUCUGUCAUUCCCUCAGAAUGGUGGAGCAGGUCAGAGAUAACAGGAGGAGAAAGCACACUGCCUGGCCCCACAGAGCUCGGGAGAGUGCUGCUCUGUUCCCCUGCAGGCACAGGAGCAGGAAGGAGGGUUAAGAGCAGGAAGGUGACGGAAACAGGCCAGGAGCUGAAGGUGAGCAAGGCCCGAGGCCGACUGCUGGGGAGCGGGAGGUGGCCCUUCUCGGGCACUAGGGAACAGCACUUUCACUUAGAAACGUGUUUUCAACAGAAAGCUUCUGUGUUUUUAAAAGCCACGUGUCUUCAACACUUUAGGCUCAGGAGUUGAUAAAGCUUACAUCUUUGUCACCCAAGAGCCUCACGCGCUCAUAAGCCGGGCUUUUGGAAGGUGCUUGGAUUAUGGGAGUUUAUAGCUGGCUUGCUGUUAGGAAGCCGGUCUGAUGGAAGAGGCGGUCCCUGGGGGCGAGGCCUGGAAGGGCUCCUCUCCCUCCCCGGCUCCUCCCUCUUCUCUCUGCUUCCUGUCAGGCUGCAGUGAGCAGCUCUCCUCCUCCACGCGCCCCCUGCCAUGUCACCCAGCCUUGGAGCGAGCCAACUUUGGGCUGAAACCACUACAUACCCAUGACAAAAGAUCCUUGUGAUGAUUGCGUCCAACCCCCUCAUUUUACAGAUUGGGAACCUGAGGCUCAAAGAGGAAAAGCAAUGAGUCGGGGUCAACAUAUCCAAGAGAUGUAAAUCUGAACACCCUGGAAGACAAAAACAUUGGAGACAAUUAGUCCAGGUCUAGGGACUUCACAGCGUCACAGAGAAGACACCCCAGGCCCUCAUUCCAGGUGAGCGGUGCUGUGGGUUGAACCGUGUCCCCUAAAGCUGUACUGAAGCCCUAAGUCCUUGUACCUGUAAAUGAGACCUUACUUGGAAUUAGGGACACCAAGUUUAAAAGAAAUCAUAGAAAUGAGGAUGGGCUGAGCUCCAACAUGGCCCGUGUCCUAAGAAGACAAGGACACAGAGACACAGAAGAAUGUAACGACAGUGGCAGAGGGAAUGAUGCAGCUACUAGCCAAGGAAUGUCAAAGAUUGCCAGCAACAUGAGAGGCAACACCAGAGGCCAGAACAGAUCCUCUCGAAGCCCGCAGAGGUGGGUGGCCCUGCCCGAACCUUGAUUUUAGACUCUUGGGCUCCAGAACUAUGAGACAAUCAAUUCCAGCUGUUUUAAGCCACCAAGUUUGUGGUCCUUUGUCACAGCAGCCCCAGAAAUGAAUAGGGGCAGCACAUUCCUGCUCCAUUCUAACCAUGAAAAUGAUGUUGAAAGACUUCGUGACCAUUUCCCAGCUUUACAUUGGUAACUGCCUUUAAUUCCCCUCUAUUAUACCAGCAUUCUUCCCAUUAUGCAGAUGAGGAAACUGGGACUUGGAGAAGUAGGCUCACCCCAGAUCUCAGCUUGGCAGUGCUGAAGGCUCCAGAGGCCAGGUCUACCGUGGAUCACUGCUGUUAACCCUAAGCUAUCGGAGGGCACACAGAUAUCCUGAUGUUGGAUUUGGGAGAAGGUGGCUCUGCUGAAGCUCCCAUGGGACCUGGGGACCAGAGACAUGCAGGACAUAUCCAGAGAGAGCUGGGACAUCUCUUCUGGACAAGGUUGCUGCCCGAGCCCUGUGGAAGCUGAGCAACAGCUCAGCAUGACGUCUCUGUGGAGGCCAAAACUGCCCAAGAGAAUGGCUACUCCAACGCCCUGACGCGGGCCUUUGCCUCUGCUCACUUAGCUUGUCAUUUGGGGUUUGUAUGUUUGGAACAUGUGUAGCUCAUUGGCUAAGUCUGCCCCCUGCCCCACCGGGAAUUGAACUCAGGGCCUUGGCUUGCCAGGCAGGUGCUGCUGCUGAGCUACAUCCCUGCCCCUCAAUACUCUGAAUUAAAGGAUGGGGAGGCUUCUUUCCUGGGAGCACCCCGCGUGCAGGACUUGACACACCUUUCCAGGCCAAUAGUCCCCUUCACUUCAUUUUAUUAGAGAUUUUUAAAUUAACUGCACAAGUCAGAUUUGUGGAAUAGACUAGGAAGUGUAGCAGAUGUAGGUAGGGCUGAUUCCCAUUCAUUUUCAUUUCUUGUCCUCCCUGCUUCCCACAAGGGGCCGCGAUGGAGCACAGUGCAAGAUCCUUUGCCAGGCCCCAGACCUGUGGUGUCAGCAUCCCCUUUGGGCUACAGUUUUAUAUUACCAGGCUCCUGGCCAAGUUGACUCCUCAGGGUGAGGUCUGGAAAUUUGUGAUUCAACAAGCUCUCCAGGUGAGAUUUUAAGGUUUGCUGAAGUUUGAGAAGGUUGCUCUGGACAGCCUGGGAUUCCUUGAGAUUCCAUCUCCUUCCCCUGAGGGGGUUACCUGGACUCCUGACUAAGCUGGUCUAUAUGCUGGAUGCUUCUGCAAAUAGAAUGAUCCCUCUCAGACACAUGACAUCAUGGAUUCUUGGCAAAUGCUUCAGCUGCUCCAGAGAUUAGCUCUAGGGCUGCCCAGCCCUGAUUUUGUUCCCGCUCCUUGCCAAUCGCUGCAUAACCUCUCUUGUUGGGACAGGAACAUCUCAGGACCAGCAGGAAGUUGACAGGAAAGCAGCAGGAAUGAGCCAUCCUUAUAUUAGUGCCCUCUACGCCCUCUAUCUUGGACCUCAUGAGAAGGGCCACGUGCAGGGCUGAGCUGGACUCCCUGGGGCCGCAAGGUGAGUGUGAACCCUUGCACAGAAUGCAGAUGGAUCUGAACUUGGGUCUCAGCUCAGCCACCCUCAUGGCCCUGCUCUUCUUCCUGCCCUGAGGUGCUCAUCAUCUUUUCUGAUAGCAGCCACCUCAGCAGUGAGUUCUCUGGAAGAAGCCAGGCACGGUUGCUCACUCACUGCACUCAGCCAGCUUCUGCCCAGCUGCUGUGUGGCUCAGGGUUCUGGAAGUGAGGGGCCUCCCUGAUGUCUUUAACUUCCUGGAGAAGUCACCCAGGAAACAUUUCUGAACCGUGGGAGGGGUGCAUCCAGUUGCUACCCUAUUUUUACCCCAUUGUCCUGAGAGAGGCCAAGGGGCUAGGACGCUGGACAUUUCUUAUUCAGUGGCCAAAUACAGCCCAUGUAUUGGAGCUGUGUUCCUCUCUCCGAUGCAGACUCCACUGGGGUUUUCAAGACAUGCCCUUCUGCGGGGAUAUUAGAAUACUGGCGAAGAGGAGGCAGGUCUGAAUCUAUUUCGAAAACACUAAGAAGCAGGAUUCAUAGUGACACAAACAUCAGGUGGGUAGUGGACCCUGGCUGGACCCCCAAGUGUCCCUUUAGGUCACAGUUCCCUUGGAGAAGACUGAGAUGUUAUGGGCCCCUGCCCCAGCACACGCAUGUGUAUCACACACACGACACACGUGCAUUUUGGAGACCAUUUCAUCAGGUUCCAAAGCCCUCUUGAAGCCUGUUCAUAGACCUCAUGCAUUCACUAAACAGACGUCCCUAGACACACAGGAGGUUGAGGGGAUACUGCACCCUCAUUGCAAAGGCUGAGAGUGCAUUCUUGUCCUAAUGACAAGAUAGUUGCUGGAAUUUGCCAGGCUGGGCCAUUACUGGUAAAUGACCCACAAUAUACAGGACAGAGAACUGCCUACUUCACCUGCCAGCAGACCCUGUUAAGAAACCUGGACAUUAUUAAAGCAGAAACUGACAACCAGAUUAGGAUUAUGUUCUGAAACAAGGAGGUACAAGGGGCCUGGAGACACAUCUAGAAUGACUGAGGAACCAGAAACAAAGACCUGUCAGGAAAGUGAUGCUUGCUUUGGACUUUAGCUCUUCUGGGUCCCAAGUUUUACUUGGAGUAAGUCUUAAAGAAGCUCAGUGUCAGAGGAACUACAGAAGGUCCAGGGUAAAUUAGGACCACUGAGCUGAGAAUCCCAGGUGCCCGGGGCCAGUUCAGAUGGGUCUGAUGGCUUCUAUGUGGCCACCAACUCUAGGCAGCUCCAGCCUUCUGGGCGUGCUGGGUAUUGGGGUCUCAGAGUGCUGGGUGGGUCUGGGCAGCUCGCCCCAGUGAAUCCCACCCCACGCAGGUCCAACUGUCAGCUUCCUUGGAGACAGGAGUCAGCACUGGUAGCCUCUCCAGGACCCAGAACCCAACAAGAGGCCAAGAUUUCAUGGAGAGAUUCAUCUCCACAUUGCAAACCAAUCAUGUAGACUUGAGCUGGUCUCUCAGCCACGAAACCGACCCACGGGAUGUUUAACAAAUUCUUGCUGGUGAAUGCCAGACCAGGAGAACCACAAAAGAAGUGAAAAGACAUUUUUAAACUCAAAAAUAUCCUUCCUUUGAAAAUGUAAUAUUUAGAAAAAUAACAGUUAAAAAAAAAGAAACCUCCAUUAUUCAAAACAGGAUAAAUGGAAAAGACAUUUCAAAUAAAAAAAAGUUUGUAUUAGGGAUGGAGGGAGGUGGCCCUUCUCUCCUUUGGGUAGCAGGAUAAACAUGGUGUGCCAGCCCCCCUUGCCAGCGAAAAAGGAGAGCAUAAAGGAUGGCGAAGGAUUUUCCAUGGACAGGCAGGAGGAAUGAAGGGAGACUCAUAACUUACUAAAAUCCACUCACAGCUGAAAUAAUAUUGGAAAUAUUGCAAGUGACUCCAAGCAGUUAAAAAUGUUACCUCAUUACAGUCCACAUAAAAUUCCUAAUCUAUAUGCCUACAUUUUGUAUAAUUUUCUUAAACACAUUUACAAAGUAGAGCAAGCUGUGACGCCCCUUUGGAAGACAGGGAUGCGUAAAUAAAUCCUGGGGAAAAGUAUGGGAAAAUCUUACCCCAAAAAGGUCGUCUUGUCCCCUUUGACCAUUGUUCAUAUCAUGGAGUAAUUUAAAUAAAUCUUUUUAAUACAAAAAA